UUCACUCAUUUUUCUUCUUCUCUAUUUUCUCUUUUUUUUUUUCUCUCUGGCGAUUCUGAGGCGAUUCUGAGAAGUGAAAAUCAUUAUAGGAAAAUAGAGAAUGGACCUGUAUAGAUGUUGAGAGGUGAUGCUGUAAUUUUUGAUUUACGAAGGAGGACGUGUAGGAGUUUUAGGUUUUCGGUGAGAGAUGAUGUAUCAGGGAGAGAGAUAGGGUUAAGGUCUGUUUUUGAUGUGAAGAAAUCAUGAAAGGAUGAUGGAUCUGUUGAGGAUCCCGAUGAUUUAUGGUGCUGCUGUUAAAUCAAGUGUUGAUUCAACUCAGCAAAAAUGAUGAAGAGGGAAGAUAAUGAGAAACUAAUGUUCCUGCCAAGGGUAUGAUGGUGCCGUGGAGGAGGAACAGGAGAAUGAGAAUUUCAGCAGUGUAAUUAAGGCGAAGAGAUGAGAGGAAAGGGGGAAAUUUAUGAGAAUAAGGGUUUAGGAUAAAAAACAGAAGGUGGAAUCAUUGAUUUAGAAGAUUCAAAUACAGGGUGGAAGGAGGAGAGGAUAAAUAAGAAUUGUGCUAGUGGAAGUACAAGUAUAAGCAGAAGUAGAAGAAGACCACCUCCACAUUCUUCUUCUUGUUCUGCAGAAUGGGUUUCUAUGGAUGAGCGAAGAAAGAUUUCUGUGGAGAUAUCAAAGAAGAACAAAAGAAAAGAAGAGGACUUCUUAAAUUGAAAUACAAAGGGGCGGUAAUGUGAGUUUUCCAUUUCCUGCCCACGUAAUAGAGAAGCGAGAAGAAUUGGAUUUUGGGGGUUCUCAAGCGUAACAUCUCCGGGUAGGAUUAACCAACUCCAUACUACUCAUUCUUGGGGUUACAGCGAUAAUAUUAGUCAGGUGUACGGCGUGUUUUAAUGGAGAUGGUGGUGGUGGUGAUUCGUUAUAUAAGACAGUUGAAGUUCCUAGCUCCUGCAACGUGAUUAUUGAAGGCAUCUAUGAUUUGAGUGAAAAAUUGCGUCCUCUUUUAGACCUCCGGGUAUCUGUGACAGGUGGUAUUCACUUGUAGUUGUCAUUGCUGAAGUCUUAUUACGUUAAUUUCAUUGAUUAGAGUUGACACUUAUCGUCGUACUUGUUUUUGUAAUAUGUAUUGCACUUUCAUGUCAUUAAUGUUACUAUUUGGUGUUGUAUUUUUUGGUUGUUGCCGGGGAGCCUUCUAAAUGACAAUUAGACUGUUAAGUGCUGAAACCUUGGGGUUGCAAAACAUCCAAGUUUGUAUUAAAAUAGUGCAGGCAUUAAUGUUAGCAUCUUUCCUUCAGCUCACAUCAAGCUUGGGUUUUAUCAUGUUUCGGUAUCUCCAAUGUAGACGAAGUUAACUCACUUGUCAAACAUUUCGAAUAUGAGAUACUAAGAAGUUCUUUAUUUCCCACUUUUGAAUGUAAGGCUGUGGAGAUAAAUCCCAAUGGAAGUAUCAAUAAGAAGGAUCUUUGAGCAUUUCUAAAAUGGGACGCUGUCCAUCUCGAUUUUCCAUCCUGGAAGAAUCUGAAGCUGCCACUCCAACUGACGAGUUGGAGCCUAUAUGAUCCAACUAUAGUAAGGCACUGGUUCGUUGAGAGUUGGAGCUUAACUCCUGAAAAGUGCAAUGUCUAUCAGAAACGCGAGACAGAUAUAUCUAUGGAUAUGGAGUUGCAUCAAAAUGUGAGCUUGUCAAAGAUAACCACUUGAUAUCUUACAUGCACCUUCAAGUAUGCCAUUUUGACCAAGAUGGAUGUGCUGAUCUUGAGUAAGCUGUAUAGGAGGCCGGAUCCUCCUGUUGAUAAGGAAGUAGUGGAUAUUCUUAUUUUUAUGAACCUCUUUGAAGGAAGAAAUCAUAACAAGUAAGUCUAUGGAUUACUCACUUUGACUACAAUGCAUUCUACUGGGCAGUUCUAUAUUUUCUGUAGUUUCUUGUAUAAUUCAUUGAAUAUAUGAGGAUUAGUUGGUCAUCCCUUGUUGUGUGAACAUAAACAAUGAGACUUAUCUUCUACAUUGUACCAUGAUAUUUAAAAGUGGUGAACUGACACCAACUUAAGUAAAUGUUUGUAUAAUGAAAGAGAAUAACAAACGGAAAAUAAUAAUAAGAAAAACAAGCAUCAGUUCACACGUAGAGUGUUA